GCCCGCGACUCGGCGAGAAGUCCAUUGAACCUUAUCAUUUAGAGGAAGGAGAAGUCGUAACAAGGUUUCCGUAGGUGAACCUGCGGAAGGAUCAUUG
rnacentral:rRNA from 5 species